AUGUAACCAUUUCAUAACUAAAGAUCGUACUCCUUGAUCCUUGAGAACAACAUCCAGUGGUGGAAUCUUGAACAUCUUUUCUAGCUUCUGAACUUCACUGAGCUCAACUAUAUCAUUAUCCAUGUAGUCCAUCGAGUCAUCAUCAAUGGCAGGUAGCACAUGAUCCCUAUUACAGAAUGGUUCUGAGAAAGAAGUGCUUAACAAUUUCCAAAGCAAUGCACACCUCCUCAAGUAAGGGAAGCUCAAUUUACGAAUUACAUCAAUGGUAUUACAAUAAGAAUCAAUAUAGUUUGAAACAAAAUGCUGCUGGAUCCAUCCAGAUUCUUCUAUAACUUUGGAAAUGUCAGUAAUUAGGGAAUCAUGAAAAGUUGAUUCCUUUGUAUACUGUUGCUGCCCACAAGUAGUAAGUAUAGCCUGAGCUAUAAGCACUAUAUAGAAGAUAUGCACAAGUGAUAACAAAGAUUCCUCGCAUGAUAAAAAUGGGUGCGGAAGACAAAAAAGAAGCCACAUGAAUGAUGAAAAAGCAUCAUGAGCGAGGAUGGGAUCAGAGGCUCGCUUCCAAAAUUGCAUGUCAGGAUAAGGUACUUCCUUCACAACAUGUUUCAAAAUGGACGACAUAUCACCUCCACAUCCAUAAGCACUACUGGCAUGGUCCAUUGAAACUCCAGAACAAAUGGACUCCCCAAAGAGCUGAAUACCCAUAAACCUUUGAAGCACAUGAAGAGAAUUCUUACUUCUCAAACUGUGCACAAUCUUUAACAACAAUGAUA
rnacentral:misc_RNA from 1 species